GAUUGUUUGAUCCUGGGCUCAGGAUGAACGCUAGCGGCAGGCCUAAUACAUGCAAGUCGAGCGGCAAGUCGAGGAGUAAUCUAAGACCUAGAGCGGCGCACGGGUGCGUAACGCGUAUGCAACCUACCUCAUACAGGGGGAUAGCCCGGAGAAAUCUGGAUUAAUACCCCCAUGGUACUGCGAAGAGGCAUUUCUAUGCAGUUAAAGAUUCAUCGGUAUGAGAUGGGCAUGCGUCUGAUUAGCUAGUUGGCGGUGUAACGGACCACCAAGGCGACGAUCAGUAGGGGUUCUGAGAGGAAGGUCCCCCACACUGGCACUGAGAUACGGGCCAGACUCCUACGGGAGGCAGCAGUAGGGAAUAUUGGGCAAUGGACGAGAGUCUGACCCAGCCAUGCCGCGUGCAGGAAGACGGCGUUCUGCGUUGUAAACUGCUUUUAUCUGGGAAGAAAAGGCCCAUGCGUGGGACAUUGCCGGUACCAGAUGAAUAAGCACCGGCUAACUCCGUGCCAGCAGCCGCGGUAAUACGGAGGGUGCAAGCGUUGUCCGGAUUUAUUGGGUUUAAAGGGUGCGUAGGCGGCUAUUUAAGUCAGCGGUGAAAGACAUCGGCUCAACCGAUGCAGUGCCAUUGAUACUGGAUAGCUUGAGUGUUGGAGGGGUACAUGGAAUUGAUGGUGUAGCGGUGAAAUGCAUAGAUACCAUCAGGAACACCGAUAGCGAAGGCAUUGUACUGGCCAACAACUGACGCUGAGGCACGAAAGCAUGGGGAGCGAACAGGAUUAGAUACCCUGGUAGUCCAUGCCGUACUCCCUAUUACUCGCUGUUAUGCUGUAUAGUGUAGCGGCCAAGCGAAAGCGUAAGU
rnacentral:rRNA from 1 species